AGAUUGAACGCUGGCGGCAUGCCUUACACAUGCAAGUCGAACGGCAGCACGGGAGCAAUCCUGGUGGCGAGUGGCGAACGGGUGAGUAAUACAUCGGAACGUGCCCAAUCGUGGGGGAUAACGCAGCGAAAGCUGUGCUAAUACCGCAUAAGAUCUACGGAUGAAAGCAGGGGAUCGCAAGACCUUGCGCGAAUGGAGCGGCCGAUGGCAGAUUAGGUAGUUGGUGAGGUAAAGGCUCACCAAGCCUUCGAUCUGUAGCUGGUCUGAGAGGACGACCAGCCUACACUGGGACUGAGACACGGCCCAGACUCCUACGGGAGGCAGCAGUGGGGAAUUUUGGACAAGUGGGACGAAAGCCUGAUCCAGUCCAUCGCCGCGUGCAGGAUGAAGGCCUUGGUUGUAAACUGCUUUGUAACGAACGAAACGUUCC
rnacentral:rRNA from 1 species